ACAGCCCGAAGCGGGAGGGGAGGAGGCUUACCGGGCUGACUCGCCUCGGCUUGGGGCUGAGUAGGGGCAGCAGGUCAUUUGGCAGUGGUGGGGCAUGCGGCCCCCCAUCUUCCAGGAUGUAGAGUAUAGCGCCACCAGCCCAGAGAUGCCACGUUGUGAGUUGCUGAUGAACAACUGGGGCAUCUGGAAGUCUGUUGGUAGUCUGUGACCUCUGACAGCUGCAGGUUCCAUUCAAGACUCUUCAUAUGGUAAACUGGCCCAAAGGAGCCUCCUUACCUGAACAAGCUGUCUCAACCUAAAUCAUUGGUCAGCCACACCCUGGCCCUAGGAUACAGAGGGCCAAAGAAGGCCAAGCCUGGCAGACACUGAAAAUAUCCUGGAAAAUGGGAAGCUCUAGAAGUAUCUACAAAUAACCCCAGAGCAUCAUCUCUACCUUCUGUAGGUGUGUCUACAGAUCGGGUGUCCAGAACGAUUGUACAAGAAAUAAA